GCCAGUUCCUUUAACAGUGGGAUAUGGUUAGUGCAUAACAGAAGUUUGUUUGCCACUGAAAUUUCUGCUCAGUGCAGUGAUAAAUGCACAAUGGAGAAGACGGAAUAAUAUGACAUUCAAUCCCCACUUUCACUGAGGCAUACCUCUGUUUGGCAAAUGAUGGUUCCCCAGUGAGGAAUUCCAGGAACAUUUUUCCCCUGAUCCUACAAACAUCUUCUCCAGAAUAGCGAAUUUAGCUGUUAUAAGUAGCACUGAAAAAGGAAGACCUCAGCUUUAUCAAAGGUACCUCUAUUCUUGUGUUCAGUGAAUCAACACAGCGAUGAAUUGCUGCAGAGUAAUCAUAAACCUAACCUAUAGUUUGUUAGCUGUUUCUCUGUGGCCAUCUAUUGCUCAUCCAGAGGUUACAUGCAAGACAGACGAUUGCUUUUGGUAAGGUUUGAGCUAAUGUGUUUUUUCGUGACUGAGGUAUGUUUACAGAUAAUUUCUGUGUCUAAAUUGAGAGGUGGUCACUUGAAAAGCUGUUGCUAUUCAUCAAAGGCAUGUGCCUACAUCCAUAACUUUGCAAACUCCAGCCUUUUGAAAUCCUAAAUCCACUUACAAGUCUGAAUCUCUACAUCUUUCUGACUAAAACUCCAGCUGCCCUGUCUAAGAUUAUUUUCUAUAACAUCCUUCUUAAAUACAGACUGCUUCAACUACUUAUAAACUUAUGGCCUUUCUAGUGCCCCCUAGUUGUGUCAGAAACCUUUGGUGAAUAAAUGUGUGUGUUGUAACAGCACAGAGGUUUAACUUUGUCUUCAGAGUGAUGUUUCCUAAAAUACGUUUGCAAAAUAAAAGUUUAUCAUAAUGACAUAUUCCCAGCAAUAUGUCUUUCUCUAGUAUAAGCGAUCAGUCAAAUUUUUCCUGCAUGUAAGAGUGGGGAAAAUGGUGAUUCCUUGCACUUUAUUUAAAACUGUGGGGAAUAUGAAAAAAAAUACCUCAGGCUGUUGAGAUCAUGACUAACUUACAUCCAGUUUUCUAAAUGUUAUCACCCCAGCAGUGUCGACAAAGUAUCAUAUUGCACUGAAUAAAGAGGUAUUGUCACAACCCAUACUCCAGCCUAGAAGCUGCCUCCUUUCAGCAAUUGCUUUCUUUUGUCACCUUCGCCUGCAUAUGUGUGAAGUUUGUGGAAACCUAAGCUCAAAAGUUUCGGACAAAGAUUUCUGUCUUUUAGUGUGAUCUCUUAUUGUGAGCCCUUAAAGUGAUCUCUCUCUGCCUUUCAUAUAAGCAAAAUGAUUUCAGCCCAGAAGUUGGUCAAACUUUCUCCACUUCUUGACUGUGGAAGGCGAAACUCACUUUUUAGGCUGUAGUGUUAAGCACAGCCUUGAUACCGAGUCUUGGUUUUCUUCCAAAAAUAAAAGAGCUUUCAAGAAAAUUAACUAUAAAAUUUUAUUACUUGCCUCUCACGUAUUAUCAAUAAUACUCUCCCUGGGCAUAUGGGGUUUUAUACUUUGACAGAACUACCUACCUGAGUGAAACCAUGGUCUUUUUGAUAUUAAAGGCAAAACUCAAUUUCAUGACUGGAUUUUACCCUCUGGGUUAUAUUUUCAAAGUAUACAUUUCAACAGUAUAAAAUGUCCGGUAAGCCUCAUGCCAGCACCAC